rnacentral:rRNA from 1 species
CAGUCGCCGCGGGAAUACGAAGGGUGCAAGCGUUAAUCGGAAUUACUGGGCGUAAAGCGUGCGUAGGCGGUUUGUUAAGUCUGCUGUGAAAUCCCCGGGCUCAACCUGGGAAUGGCAGUGGAUACUGGCAAGCUAGAGUGUGUCAGAGGAUGGUGGAAUUCCCGGUGUAGCGGUGAAAUGCGUAGAGAUCGGGAGGAACAUCAGUGGCGAAGGCGGCCAUCUGGGACAACACUGACGCUGAGGCACGAAAGCGUGGGGAGCAAACAGGAUUAGAUACCCCCGUAGUCCCUGUCUCUUACAC